UCCUCGUUAGUAUAGUGG
rnacentral:piRNA from 2 species